rnacentral:sRNA from 2 species
GGUUUCAGCCCUUCUGGGCGUUUCCUCCUAUGCGACUUUCGGCCGUCUUCUUCUCCUGUAGAAGGCGGCCUUUCUUUUGCCCGCC